rnacentral:rRNA from 1 species
UACGGGGGGAGCAAGCGUUGUUCGGAUUUACUGGGCGUAAAGGGCGCGUAGGCGGCGCAACAAGUCACUUGUGAAAUCUCCGGGCUUAACCCGGAGCGGCCAAGUGAUACUGUCGUGCUAGAGUGCGGAAGGGGCUACUGGAAUUCUCGGUGUAGCGGUGAAAUGCGCAGAUAUCAGGAGGAACACCGGUGGCGAAGGCGGUUCUCUGGGCAUGUCCUGACGCUGAGGAGCGAAAGUGUGGGGAGCGAACAGG